GUCCCCAACCUCGGACUGUGUAUAGGAUAAUGGUGCCUUGGCGUCAUGAAGUGAUCAGCACUCCUCAAUGAACAAUAUCAUCCAGUCUGCUAUUCGCCGACAUUGGCACUUAAUCAAGAAGGACACGGACCUGAGGGAGGUGGAACUUAGACAGCCUUUAUAUUCCUACACGCUCGUGCACACUAGGAAAUCAACUUAGUUGCACAAAAAUAGCACAGAAAAAAAAAGACAUGACUAGACAAGGUGCCCACUGCAGCACUCCUCAAUGAACAAUAUCAUCCAGUCUGCUAUUCGCCGACAUUGGCACUUAAUCGAGAAGGACACGGACCUGAGGGAGGUGGAACUUAGACAGCCUUUAUUUUCCUACACGCUCAUGCACACUAGGAAAUCAACUUAGUUGCACAAAAAUAGCACAGAAAAAAAAGACA